AAUCAUGUUACUGUAACUGUGUCUUGCAGGCACUUUACUUUUGUGCUCCCUUCCGUGAAUAGUUGCUUGAAUACUACACAAAUAAUAAAAGUGAGGAGAAUCUCUUGACUUGCUUGGCUGAUUUGUUUUCUCAUAUAAGUUCUCAGAAGAAGAAGACAGGAGUUAUUGCUCCCAAGCGCUUUGUACAGAGGUUGAAGAAACAAAAUGUACUUUUUCGGAGUUAUAUGCAUCAGGAUGCACAUGAGUUCCUUAAUUAUUUGCUAAAUGAACUUGAUGACAUCUUAGAGAAAGAGGCAAAAACGGACAAUGAAACUUCAUCAUCUCCUGGAAAGAUUUCAAAUGGACCAAAACUUCUUCAGGCAAAUGGUGUUCAUAAAGAGCCUACUGUUACAUGGGUGCACAAGAUUUUUCAGGUAACGAUCAGUUCCUUUUGGCUUCAUUACUAUACCAGAGUAAAGCUUAACCGAGUCCCCAAACCAAACCAGAUCAUAAAGUGAUCUCAAGGUGUUUUAGCAUGUGCAAACUAUAUUUGUAUACUUCUAGCACAAAGUCUUAAUUUUCUCUCUUCCCACAAAACCUGAUCAAAGCCAUAAUCUCAACGUCAUGUUCCCUCUUCUCACCAAACCAAGAUCAAAGCCAUAAUCACCAAACCAAGAUCAAAGCCAUAAUCUCAAAGUCAUAUUCCCUCUUCUCACCAAACCAAGAGUAACCAUUU